rnacentral:rRNA from 1 species
AUAAGCGGAGGAAAAGAAACUAACAAGGAUUCCCCUAGUAACGGCGAGUGAAGAGGGAAGAGCUCAAAUUUGAAAUCUGGCGGUCUACGGCCGUCCGAGUUGUAAUCUAGAGAGGUGUUUUCCGUGCCGGACCGUGUACAAGUCCCUUGGAACAGGGCGUCAUAGAGGGUGAGAAUCCCGUCCAUGACACGGACUCCCGGUGCUCUGUGAUACACCUUCAAAGAGUCGAGUUGUUUGGGAAUGCAGCUCAAAACGGGUGGUAAAUUCCAUCUAAAGCUAAAUACAGGCGAGAGACCGAUAGCGAACAAGUACCGUGAGGGAAAGAUGAAAAGAACUUUGGAAAGAGAGUUAAACAGUACGUGAAAUUGUUGAAAGGGAAACGCUUGAAGUCAGUCGCGUUUGCCAGGACUCAGCCUUGCUUUUGCUUGGUGCACUUCCUGGYGGAUGGGCCAGCAUCGAUUUUGGUCGCCGGAAAAGGGCGGGAGGAAUGUGGCAGCUUGCUGUGUUAUAGCCUCCCGUCGUACACGGUGGUUGGGAUCGAGGACUGCAGCACGCCUUUUGGUCGGGGUUCGCCCACGCCACGUGCUUAGGAUGCUGGCGUAAUGGCUUUAAACGACCCGUCUUGAAACACGGACCAAGGAGUCUAACAUGC